AGGAUACUUAGAUGUGUUUCGAUUCCUCAAGCAAUGAACACGACAGAAUUACCAGCUUUAAAGACUCCUGGUGUUCUCCACAGAAAGAUAAAGAAGGGUGUGUUAAGGAGAUCAAAGAACCUUCCUAAGAUGAAAGCCAUCGAGACGGCUAUUUCAAGAGGAGAAAAGGUAGAAAAGAAAAUAUCGAAGAAGUGUCUGCAACCGAAAUUCGUGCUAAACUCCCUAAUCGUCAACAAGGUAAUCGAUCUAUUUUCUAUUAAGAGGUUUAUACUAAUUCUAUCAAAUCUGAAGUUUUUUGUUGAUUUUUGGGUGUGUUUUCCUUCUCUGUACAUCUUUUCAAGCAUUUUGAUUCACUAGUGAUGUUUUAGGUUGGAUUGUUGUAGCAAUAGGGCUAAAAUUGCAUCAAUUGCAAGUUAAGAACUGUCAAGUCUCAAAAGAUGUGAGAAAACAAAACAAUUGGCUGCUAAUUGGCCACGCUCACCUGCAAGUAGUAGAGUCGAGGUACUUGAUCGAACUGCUCGGUUACAAAAUUAUGUACCAUUAUCUGAAUUAGUACAGGAACAUAUGUGCAUUGGAUUGAAUGUAAACCAGGUCAAGGUGAUGAUAAGGUACAAUUAGAAUUUUCGCCUAAGCAGUGUUAUGUGUAUUUCUACUUUUCAUGGUAAUUGGGAGAGUUCCGUUUCAGAUUUUACACAAUUGAUUAAGUACAUAAUUUUUUUUUUCCAUUUUGAGUAAUUCGCUAGAUAACAUCGCCAUCGCCUUAUCGUUUUAGAAUUAUAGAAUAUAUUAUCAGUAACUGUUAGUAAGACGGGACUAAUAGCCAUCUGAGAUGAAAACAAACAAAGUGGGUCAGACUAGGUCUCAUGGUCCAUUCGUAUGAUUAUGCAAAGAAUAUCACAAAACCUUUCAUUGAUGCAGCGAAAUGCAAUAUGCCUAAAAAUGCAUUUAUGUGUUUCUGUAUUAUAGGUUUCUGUAUGUCGUUAUCUUCCUUGCUGUGCCUUUUUCCCACGAAUGUUUGUUUGCUGGUAAGCUUGUUCUGUGUUGGCCCGAUUAGUUGCACAACAAGAACUGUCUGCGUAAUUGCUUAGACGCAAACAUGUGUUAUGUUAUUUUAUACAUACAUCUUUUUUUGACAUUAUAAAUUCAUUGUUUGCAUAACUGUUUUCAAUCGUAGUUCUUAAAACCAAUUAGGAUUUACAAAUUAGGAACAUUUGUCCGUUGAAACUCUUAAAAGUGCAAACAUAUAAUUGGAACAUUGAAGGAUUUACAAAUUAAGAAUCUAAGAUGAUAAGAACUCAUCCUAUUGGCUUCUGAAGUCCCCGAUACAUCAAACGCAGAAACUAUGUGAAAAAUGUGGAGGUAUAUCACAUGUGCCACAUUCUAAGUUUCACAUUGCUGGCCCUAAUAGUUGGCAGGUUACCAGCCCUUUUGAAGUUACUGAAUUGCUUGCGGUUCAGAACAAGAUUUAUUAGAGGCCAACAAUUUUUGUGGCAAAAAUAUGUAACCGAAGAGGAAAAAAAUUCCUGGAACUGCUGCUGUGUUAACACCUGACAUGCCAGAUGUUCAAUCUCAUGUUUCUGUGGGAGCUCGAUUUCUCACUUGAAUCAUUGGUAUUUAGGGCGCUUCCCUUUCUCGGUUCAGAAAAGGAUUCAAACCCAACAAUGUGUUUCCUCAUAAUGUCUAUGAACGAUCUAGAAACCAGAAACAAUAUAAAAAGAUGUCUCUAUUAAAGGGUUGCCUUUUCUUGGCACUCAUGGCAAUGAGGUUUAGAUGGUAUACCGUAUAACAUGGAAACAAUUGGAGAUGGCUAAAAGAUGGGUUUCUUAGAACUGUCACCUGAAGACGAACUGGAAGGGCAACUUGUUUACCUCCAAAUUAAGCUACUAACCACACCAUUGCAAGCAAGUGCUAUUGUGGUCUCUGUGCUUGUCCUCUUGAUAUUAGUCAUAUAUUGAUAUGUGGAACUCUUCAAAGGAACACCCCCAAUCAUGUGAAAUUUGCAGAAGGCCUGGGAUUUUAUUGAACCCUAUAUUACUUUGUAACGACUGCAAGGUGUCAGUCCAGUUGGGAUGUUAUCGUAGUGUUAAAGGUUCUUCUGGACCAUGGUACUGUGAACUGUGUGAAGAUUUGUUGGCAUCUAGGAGCUUCAGAGUUCCAGUGAAAACCCUCACGAAAAGCCUUGUUUUCCUGCACCAUGCAGUUUGUAUGGUGGCACUAGUGGUGCUUUUAGAAGGUCAACUGAAGGACUAUGUGUGCAUUCCUUCUGUAGUGAGGUUAUUUCAUGUUGUUACCGUUGAGUCACUUUGCCAAAUUUAUUUCAUCAAUCUCUUGUGUUCUAGUGGUUGUUGUAAUCGACUAUCAAAAGCGGGCAACAGAAUCCCGUGAAAUUGCUUUAGUGAUAGAUGAAAGUGUCUUCCAGGGUACCACUUCCAUCUUAUCUGUAUAUAUUUCCAAGGAUCUAUAAGUGUGCGAGUAUAUACCAAUAAUUUCCUACAACA